rnacentral:rRNA from 1 species
CCUACGGGUGGCAGCAGUAGGGAAUCUUUCACAAUGGGCGAAAGCCUGAUGGAGCAACGCCGCGUGCAGGAUGAAGGCCUUCGGGUUGUAAACUGCUUUUAUAAGCGAGAAAUAUGAUGGUAACUUAUGAAUACGGAUCGGCUAACUACGUGCCAGCAGCCGCGGUAAUACGUAGGGGGCUAGCGUUAUCCGGAAUUACUGGGCGUAAAGGGUGCGUAGGUGGUUUCUUAAGUCAGAGGUGAAAGGCUACGGCUCAACCGUAGUAAGCCUUUGAAACUGGGGAACUUGAGUGCAGGAGAGGAGAGUGGAAUUCCUAGUGUAGCGGUGAAAUGCGUAGAUAUUAGGAGGAACACCAGUUGCGAAGGCGGCUCUCUGGACUGUAACUGACACUGAGGCACGAAAGCGUGGGGAGCAAACAGGAUUAGAUACCCCAGUAGUC